rnacentral:misc_RNA from 1 species
GAACGCACCUUGCGCUCCUUGGUAUUCCGAGGAGCAUGCCUGUUUGAGUGUCAUUAAUAUAUAUCAACCUUCUCACUUGUUGAGAGGUUUGGAUGUGGGGGUUUGCUGGCCUUGUAAAGGGUUCAGCUCCCCUGAAAUGCAUUAGCAGAACAACCCUGUUCAUUGGUGUGAUAACUAUCUACGCUAUUGAAUGUAAGGGGCAGUUCAGCUUUCUAACAGUCCUCGGACAAUUCAUCAUUAAUGUGACCUCAAAUCAGGUAGGACUACCCGCUGAACUUAAG